ACAUGCCUACAACAUAGCGUUAAUGCAUUGAAUCCCAUUAGAACUCUGCAGUUAAGCGCGCUUGGGAUAGAGUAGUACUAGGAUGGGUGACUGACCGGGAAGUACUAGUACUUUACAUGCC
rnacentral:rRNA from 1 species